GCACCAUCGACUACAGCUUGCAUCGAUUAGUUUGUGGCAUUGUGGCUCAUUGAAGUUUGCUGUGCCAUUGUGUUUCCUACUUUAUGGCGAAAUACUAGAAAUAUGACAUUUUCUAGCGAACACUUCAAAAUACAAUGUCUGCUUCCAAGUGACUUCAUUUGGGGCUGAAAUUAUCGAAGAACAUGUUAUAAUCCAACAUUUAAGGUAAUUUACGUUAAAAAAAAUUGUUUGUAAGAUACAAGAUCUGCAGUUGUGAUCAGAGCAGAUAAAAGACCUGCUAGAACACAUGAACGCACAUUUAAUGAUCCAACAAUGGAUGAAGUGGAAAUGUUUAUUGUUGGUGACGUUCAUAUGACGCGUUUCAAUACCCGCUGAUGUUCUGGCAAGGUGACGAUGAAUAUAACUUUAAUAUCAAAAUGAAAAAUUUAUUGAAUGGUUAGGAAACUACCAAGAAGGUUAGGUCGAUGAAAUACUACGCAUACCGUUUGCUGAUUCGUAAAAAUUUUGACAAUUAUUACUUCAACAAUAUUGCGUUGACAUGUCGAAACAAUACGUAGUACCUUAAUUUUAUUCGGUUGAAUCAAGGUAAAUUGCGUUUAGAAGUGUAUAUUCAAUGUUGGUCGAAUGACUAUUUUACCGGCGAAAUACA